AGACCUACGGGGGGCAGCAGUAGGGAAUUUUCGUCAAUGGGCGAAAGUCUGAUGGAGCAACGCCGCGUGAGUGAAGAAGGGUUUCGGCUCGUAAAGCUCUGUUGGUAGUGAAGAAAGAUAGAGGUAGUAACUGGCCUUUAUUUGACGGUAAUUACUUAGAAAGUCACGGCUAACUACGUGCCAGCAGCCGCGGUAAUACGUAGGUGGCAAGCGUUGUCCGGAUUUAUUGGGCGUAAAGCGAGUGCAGGCGGUUCAAUAAGUCUGAUGUGAAAGCCUU
rnacentral:rRNA from 1 species